rnacentral:rRNA from 1 species
GAUGAACGCUGGCGGCGUGCCUAACACAUGCAAGUCGAACGAAGCACUUCGAUUUCUUCGGAAUGAAAAAGUGACUGAGUGGCGGACGGGUGAGUAACGCGUGGGUAACCUGCCUCAUACAGGGGGAUAACAGUUAGAAAUGACUGCUAAUACCGCAUAAGCGCACAGUAUCGCAUGAUACAGUGUGAAAAACUCCGGUGGUAUGAGAUGGACCCGCGUCUGAUUAGCUAGUUGGUGAGGUAAUGGCUCACCAAGGCGACGAUCAGUAGCCGGCCUGAGAGGGUGAUCGGCCACAUUGGGACUGAGACACGGCCCAA